rnacentral:rRNA from 1 species
UACGUAGGGGGCAAGCGUUGUCCGGAAUCAUUGGGCGUAAAGAGCGUGUAGGCGGCUCGGUAAGUCCGCUGUAAAAGUCCAGGGCUCAACCCUGGAAAGCCGGUGGAAACUGUCGAGCUAGAGUCCGGAAGAGGCGAGUGGAAUUCCUGGUGUAGCGGUGAAAUGCGCAGAUAUCAGGAGGAACACCAAUGGCGAAGGCGGCUCACUGGCUCAUUUCUGACGCUCAGGCGCGACAGCGUGGGGAUCAAACAGG